rnacentral:lncRNA from 1 species
UGAUUUUGGACUCGGGAAUAGGUGGUAUUUGGUUUUAAGGGAAGAGAAAAAGAAUGUUUCCUCUGGACAGAAUACCCAAGAUAAUGGCAGAAUGAUAAGAAAGAUUAGACUGGUAAGAGCCCAGUAGAAACAGACCUUAGAUUAGUCUAGUUUCAUUCAAUUGAAUGUUUCAGGCACAAAAAGAAAACUUGGAUACUGAGAGAGAAGAUAAGUAGUUUCAAAAUUCCAAAGAUAAGAUAAUGAAGUCAUGUAUCAGGGCGCACUUGUUUGUCCUUCAACUAGGAAAGAAGAACUGGAGUUUAUCGGGGAAGCCUCUAGAGUCAAGAAAGGUAUGUUUGGGGGAAACAACUGCAAGCUAACUCUUCAGGUUCACCCGAAGGCGACUAAUCAAACUGAGGUCCUAAGAUCAACAAGUCUCACUCACAAGCAAGGAGGCUAAGCAACAAAACCAUAAAUCUGAUGUCACCAAAAUCUUUAACAACACAAUCGCAUGGAUGAAAAUUGUAUUUUAUAGUGUUUGUUGUUCAGCCUUCACACCUUUUAUCAUUGAAUUGAUUCAUUAUGCUUGUACAAUAUGGUAUUAAUAUGUGUUAUAGAAAUAAGACUACAUUCUUUCCUUGAAGGGAAAGGAAAAAUUAUGAGAAAAGAAAAAAAAUGGAAAUGAAAUUUAUGUAAAUAGGGAAGGGUGGAGGGGGUGAAGGGCACAAAGGUAAUGGGGAAAAAAAUAAGAACCAAGAUACAUCAUGUACAGCUACAAGCAUCCAAUGAUAAAUAUAAAUGUAUUGUAUACCUAAAAUG